rnacentral:lncRNA from 1 species
UAGAGAACGACCCCAUAGAGAAGAAGGGAGAAAGAAAGAAUGAAGAGAAAAAGAGAAGAAAAGAAGGAAGAGGUAUGUUCCAAUCUUUCAAGCCUAGGGUCUUAGUUUCUUGAACUUUUUUCUUUGAUUGAGAGAGGCGAGUAAAAGAUUAUUGAAUUAUCUUUUAGGGAUUAUGAAAGUUUUGCUUAAAUUCUAAGUUUAGCAAGAAGUAAGUGUUAUUGACAUGUAUUUGAGGUUUCACAUGAUAAUAUAAUAAACAGUUGAAAAUGGGUGUUGAAGAAAGUAAAAUUUAUGGGUUUAUGAGAUAAAGACAUAUUCUUUGAUUUUCAUGUGAGUUUGUGGUGUUAAACACUUAAUUUAAGAAUUUGAGGUUUGAUUUAUUCAUUUUUAAAGAAAUUUCAAGUAAUUUUCAGAAAAUUGUGAAACAUGGGUGCUAUUUUGAAAUUCUACCCAGAAAGUGCUUCUUUGUCAAAAACUUUGGAGACAGCUUUCCAUAAAAAGAAUUUGGUGCCAGAGUUCAAUAUUCUGGAAGUAGAGUGUCGUUUUUGAAAAUCUUUUGAUUUUCUUGGAUUUUUAAUAUGAAAACAAAAUUAAGUGUUAAAUAUUGGAGAUUAGGUGUUAAAAUAAUUUAUAUAAAUGUGGAUAUGUUAUUAGUGACCAUAAUUGGGAUUAUGACAUUACAUUUACAACUUAAUUUUCAGAAAUAAGUAUUUAUUAAAUUUUAUAUUAGAUUAGAAAAUUAAUUAGUUUAUAUAGUUAUUUUGAUAGCAUGAUUUUAAGAAUAAGUGGAUUUUAUAAUCAGUUCUUUUUAAAACUAAAUUCAGUACAAUUAAAUCAUUUACAUAGCAUUUAUAUUCGUAUUACAUAUUUCAGCUUAUUUAAAGUUAUUUUUAAAAUCACCAGAAAGUAAUCAGGUGAUUUUACCCUAGUCUGCAUUGGUGUGAAUGUGUUUCGACAGUGUAAGAGCGGUUAUGGUGAUUUUACCUUCUCUGCAGUAUUGUGAAUGUAUUUUCAUAAUGUAUGACUAGAUUAUGACAUUUGGGUAGCUUUGUGCCUGUAUGACAGUAUUGCAGAAUUUUAGAACUUAAUAGCCUUGUCAUGUAGAUCUAGAUUAAUUGGUACAUGAAUAUGGUUAUUCCAGGUACAUUUUUUGUGUGAUUUUCAGUAAUAUAUACAACUUAUCAGAUUUCAAAUUACAGAAUUUAGUUUAAUCGGUUUGAAGAAUAAAGAUUUCAAUUUAUUGUAUUGUGAAAAGAUUUUUUUUACUCAUAAUAUGGAUGACAAAUUUAUUAUAUCUUUUAUACCUUACAGUGAUUUAUUCAGAAUAAAUAGUAAAGAAUUUUAUGAUUCCUUUAUGUUUUAAUCUUAAAAGUAUUAUUAGAUUUUAGACUUUCUUAAAGUUUUAAUGGCAUAAGUAUUUUCAAAAAGCUUAUAUAAAUAGAAAAAAGUGUACUUAUUUGCGAAUUGUUCAUUCACUGAGUUACAAGCUCAUAUAUUUUGUCAUCCAUUUUUUCCUUAUCAGAUACUAGUUGAGUUGAGCAGCGUUGGAGCCUGUUAAUCUACCAAGUUGAGUCAUACAUUAUCAUUAGUUGGAUGAUUUGUUUUGUUAGUUUAUAUAGUUUUAUGAUUCUUUUGUAAUACAUACAUAUGUUAUCAUAAAAGUUAAUUUGUAAUUCAUGUAUCCAUAUCAUGGGCUCUCUACAUUUUUGUAAAUGUUGUACAUUUGGAGUCUUUUGGCUUGUAAAGGAGUUUAAAUAUCAUUCUAGUAAACUAUAUUUUGAAUAGUUGUGUUUUGGGAGGUUGGUGUACCUUAUUUUAAAUUAUAUGUACAGGUUUGAGAAAAUUGAUUAUCA